rnacentral:rRNA from 1 species
UACGAAGGGUGCAAGCGUUGUUCGGAGUUACUGGGCGUAAAGCGCGCGUAGGCGGUUUGACAAGUUGGGAGUGAAAUCCCGGAGCUUAACUCCGGAAUUGCUUUCAAGACUGUUAGACUAGAGUAUGGUAGGGGACAGUGGAAUUCCUAGUGUAGAGGUGAAAUUCGUAGAUAUUAGGAGGAACACCAGUGGCGAAAGCGACUGUCUGGACCAUUACUGACGCUGAGGCGCGAAAGCGUGGGGAGCAAACAGG